rnacentral:rRNA from 1 species
CCCUUAGAUGUCCGGGGCCGCACGCGCGCUACACUGAAGGAAUCAGCGUGGCUUUCUCCCUGACCCGAAAGGGUUGGGAAACCCGUUGAAUCUCCUUCGUGAUAGGGAUUGGGGCUUGAAAUUGUUCCCCAUGAACGAGGAAUUCCCAGUAAGCGCGAGUCAUAAGCUCGCGUUGAUUACGUCCCUGCCCUUUGUACACACCGCCCGUCGCUACUACCGAAUGAACGGUUUAGUGAGGGCCUCGGAUUGGUCUCGGCCCGCUCUUUACCGGGCGGCGCCGUUGGUCGAGAAGACGCUCGAACUUGAUCGUUUAGAGGAAGUAAAAGUCGUAACA